GCGAAUGCCGUGCGAGUAGGCGCGGUAAGACGGAGGGGGCAAGCGUUACUCGGAAUCACUGGGCGUAAAGAGCGGGUAGGCGGGUGAAUAAGUCAGAAGUGAAAUCCAAUAGCUCAACUAUUGAACUGCUUUUGAAACUGUAUACCUAGAAUGUGGGAGAGGCAGAUGGAAUUUCUGGUGUAGGGGUAAAAUCCGUAGAGAUCAGAAGGAAUACCGAUUGCGAAGGCAGCUCACUGGAGCGCAACUGACGCUGAGGCUCGAAAGUGCGGGUAUCGAACAGGAUUAGAUACCCGAGUAGUC
rnacentral:rRNA from 1 species